rnacentral:rRNA from 1 species
CAGUCGCCACGGUAAAACAGAGGGUGCGAGCGUUAAUCGGAUUUACUGGGCGUAAAGCGUGCGUAGGCGGCUUCUUAAGUCGGAUGUGAAAUCCCUGAGCUUAACUUAGGAAUUGCAUUCGAUACUUGGAAGCUAGAGUAUGGUAGAGGAUGGUAGAAUUCCAGGUGUAGCGGUGAAAUGCGUAGAGAUCUGGAGGAAUACCGAUGGCGAAGGCAGCCAUCUGGCCUAAUACUGACGCUGAGGUACGAAAGCAUGGGGAGCAAACAGGAUUAGAUACCCCUGUAGUCCCUGUCUCUUAUAC